rnacentral:rRNA from 1 species
UGCCAGCCGCCGCGGUAAUACAGAGGGUGCAAGCGUUAAUCGGAAUUACUGGGCGUAAAGCGCGCGUAGGUGGAAUUGUAAGUUGGGUGUGAAAGCCCCGGGCCCAACCUGGGAUGGUCAUCCAAAACUACAAAUCUAGAGUACAGUAGAGGGGAGUGGAAUUUCCGGUGUAGCGGUGAAAUGCGUAGAUAUCGGAAGGAACACCAGUGGCGAAGGCGGCUCCCUGGACUGAUACUGACACUGAGGUGCGAAAGCGUGGGUAGCAAACAGGAUUAGAUA